AGUCUGUUUACUUUUUAUUGGUUCUUCAACUUAUACUGUAUAUGCACUUAUCUAUCUUUGUUCUUACUAAUGAAUUCAGGUGGCCGUUUUAAAGAACCGUGUUAACAUUGCUUGUGGUACACCAAGCAGGAUUAAGAAGUUGAUUGAUGUGGAGGCACUUGGACCAUCACGAUUAGCCGUGAUUGUGCUCGACAUGCACACAGACGUUGAGGGUUAUUCCUUGUUCACCCUUCCCCUAGUCAGAGAUGAAUUCUGGGACUUGUAUAAGUGCUACUUCCAUCCACGGCUGCUUCAAGGUGAUCUUGGUAUCUGUCUUUAUGGCCCUGUACCAAUUAGCACUUAGGCAAAGAAAAAGGUUUGCGAUGACAGUUUCUUCGGGUAUGAUGUUCGAGAGCUGACCAUCAUGUGUAGCGUAUUCAUUUUUU